CGAAAACAUGGAAAAACCGAAGAAGAAAACCCUAGGAACAAACCUAGAUUUUCUUCCUACAAACAAAUCAUCAUUAAUUUUUUCUAUUCUCUCUGCAACCUUCUUCCUCUCCUCUCCAUGUUUUAAUUCAUCAUCGUUUUUUUUUUAUAUUUAUCAUCCUGAAAACCAAAAGGAAAAAAAAAAACACUAGGAACAAACCUAGGUUUUCUUCUCUACAAAACAAAUCAUCCCUAACGAUGAUACGACGAAAAGAAAAACAACUCUUUUGUUUAUUCUCUCUUCUUAGGGUUCUAAGGAAAAGGCUUUGAAUGUUAAUGGUUUUUCCAACUAUGUCACCACCAUAACCAGCAGUAGCGCCAUUAACUCCACCGUCCACCGUCCAACACCAAUUUUUGUUUUUUCUUUUAUCCCGUUCCAAUUAUAAACCCUAAAAAUAAACCCUAAAAACAUGGUAAUGAUAAGUUAAUUUGAAUAUAGGUGUUCUCUAAUUUUUUCACUUGGGUGUUGGAAGGUAAAAUUACAUGCUACUGCAGCUCGCCGAGCAGGGAGAUGGAAGAUUAAUUUGGGUGUUGCUUCCCCUGCUGUAGGUUUAGGUUUUCUUAAUUUUGAUAUAUUCAAAGAAGACGAGAUAAAUUCCGAGCUUCCACCAGUUUCGUGUUUUUUCUUUUAUUUUUGAACUUAUUGUUCAGUUUUCUUUCCGUUAAAUCUAUAGUUGAUGCAGUCAAGUAUGAUUUGGGAUUUUAUGGAUUAACUUGCAGUGAGUCUCUUGCUUUCUGGUAAGGUCAAAACUACGAUUCCCGUUUCUUGCAAUUUUGUAAUGCAUUUCGAUUAUGUGGUGUUCUGUUUUAGGGCUACUAAUAUGUACUGAUGGUUGUAUUCGGUUUUUGGGCUUCUAAUAUAAACUGAUAGAUGAUUUUUAUGCGCAGACCUAACAACCAUUAACUUGCUUGGGUUAUCUAAAAACCUCGGAGAUACAGUUAAAUAAGUUCCCUAACAGGUUUAGCCGGACUAUGUGUAGGAUAUGGUGCAUUUCCCCUAAGCAUCAUCUAAUAUCUUUGGAGAACCAAGCAUCCUUAACAUGUGUAUGUCGCUGCUGAGAUUUCUAUGUGCAUGGCCACUGCAAAAUCCUGUGUAUCUAGAGGUCUGGGGAUUUCAAUACAAAGUAAAAAAGGUGAACGUUUUUUGCAGUUGGUACGAUUUCUUUUGUUGCUUGGAUAGGGUUGAGAAGCAUUACAAGUCCAUGGUUUCUAAUACUUUCCAUGGUAUUAGAAAUACCUUACUGGAUGUCACUAGAAAAUUACAUCAGUAAAUUGCAAUGGAUACUUUAGUGUACAAAUGUUACUGAGUGCAGAACAAGAGUCCCGGCAGAUUGUUGCAAGUGCCAAAAACACAAUAAUGAAUGUUUAAGAAUUGACAGUGUGCACGACAAGAGAGUGAAGGUGAUGAAUCUUAGUAUUCAAGAAGGAAGAAAAUAGAACCAUGAAAAUUAUAAAGAUAUCUGAUUUCGCAAAACUUUAAUGGGUUCAGUUCUUGGUGCUUGGGGUUUGAUAUCUGAUUGUUAUUUAUAUUUUAUGUGUAUAUACUUUUAUAGGCCAUAAGCUUAAUUGGGUUUAAUAUGUUCGUUCACUUCGUUGCAAGGGAAAACAAAUGAAAAUAAGACAGUAAAUGAUUAUGAGAUGGAUAGUGGAAUGAUGUUGGAAUAGCCAACAAGCCUUUUCCUGCAUCCAUGUUUCAUAGAUUACCAACAAGGUAAUUAUUCCUUCUACCUGGUCCCCAAUUUCUUUUAUACGAAUCACAUGAUUUACGUUUAUAUUUCUUAAAUUGUUGAUGCUUACUGUGAUUCCAAGAAGAAAAUUGAUUCAGCUUUAUGCAAAGUCAGUUCUAAUGAUGGUAGGGUAGACUUGGUAUGUAGUACCUAAAAAUAUUGGUUUUCUCUAUGUUUAGAUUUGGGAAGUCAAAUUACAUAUUAGCUUCCAUACUAAUCCAUGAAUGAGGUUUACUGUCAUUACAUGAACAUGGUUUUGAGUCACUUUGGUUCUGAAAAUCUGAAAAGAAAGCUAAGAUGUAAUACAUGGGGCGCAAAGAGAAUUACCGUUGUUGGAUAAUCAGGAAAGCAUAGAUUUAAAAGAAGCCAUAAUGAAGCUAGAGUAGGCUGUAAAUAAAGCGAAUGGUUAACUGGGUAAGCCUGAGAAUUUCCCAACCCCCACCAGUGCUAAACAUUAGCGGGACCAAGGAUUACCAGCAAUUCGAUUCUCUGGAGCAACAGAAGUGUUAUAAGAAAGUAGCAGAAGGUGGAUUCUUUGAGCAACGAGUUUGUGCAGUAACUACUAAAAGCCACACUGAAAAGGGGUUGGAGUAGAAAGUAGUAGAGGGGGAUGUAAGUAUUAGUCGAGAUUGGGGAAGCCAUAAAAGUGGAUUGAGGGGGAUUUUGCCCGAAUACAUUUUGGAUUGUCGAUGGAGUUCAACAUUGAGGCACUCUUGACUAUUUAUUUGGUAUCACUGGUUUUACAGUUCUUCCGAUGAAUAUUGCUUUGGCGCCUUGAUAUACGUAUUAGAGGCUGUGAAUGUAAAGGAUUUUAUUAGUCUGUAUCACCUGCUAUUUGGUGGGCAGGCACUAAGAAACUUUUCUAUAUUUGGAUUUGUAUGAUUUGGUUCAUGUUUUCGCAGUUACGGUCUAUGACUCAUUUUUUGCUGGUGUUAUUUUUACCUUGGCUACUGCUGAUAAUCCCGACUUCUUAAUUUUUCAUGGACAUUAGAGUUGGCAGUAGUUGCAAGGGCAAGUUGAAUCAAUGGCAACAUCGUGUUCGGGAUCAGGAUGUGAGGCGACGACAAAAUUUCAGGUUGAGACUGAGUUGGAGUGUGAGAAUCAAGAUACUAUGUGAUUCUGGAAACUUCGGUUUUGGGCGUGACUUCCUGGUGCAUAAGAGUUUCCAGUAUUACAUCGCUUAUUGGUUUCUCAUAUUAUAUGAAUACUAAGUCCCCGAGCCUCAUGUUGAAAUGUUUUUCUACCAGGUUUGCCAAUUUGAUUAGAUGUAUGUGUGUUCUCAUGGGAAUGUGAAACUCCCAUUCCAGAGAUAUCGUAACUCCUAAUAUCACUUCCCAUGGAGUAUUGUUCAUGAAAAUUUAGGAAAGAAAAACAGAAGGUGGAAACUUCGACAACCUGAGAUGAACAAAAAUGUUAAGGUGGAAACUUCGAUGAAAGGUGGAAACUUCGACAACCUGAGAUGAGCAUCCAUUCGAAGGUGUCCAUACUAAGGUCAUCAAAGACAAUGAUAGGGAAGAGAAGUAAUUUAGGAAAUUUUCUUCUCCUUGACAUCUGGAGAAGAAUGACAAACCAGUUGAUCCAAGGGAUGGAUUAUGUGCCUGAGCUGGUGAUUUAAAUGAUGUACUUGUAUUUUUGUUCACUUAAUAUUUUGAUCUCCAUGAAAGGUAUGUGCUAACUCUUUCAGUGCAGAUGGAUAAUGCUUUAAUUGAUGAUCAGUGGACUUCAGUCAGACUGUUUCUAAGUUGUGGUCUCAAUACAGGCGUAAAGAGCAUCAAGCUGGUAAAGGUUGAGAUACCACUGCCGACUUUGAUGGUGUUGUAGAUAAUAAAAGUAACAUAGACCUCAUGCAAUGAUUUUCCAUAGGGGGAUGUUGAAUGUGGACGAGCUUCUGAACCUCCAACUGUUAUCCCUGACAAGUUGAAGGAAGAUUGAACUGAUGCGCUACAAGAAGCAUUUGGGAGGAAGUAUGAAUGGAAGUUCAUGAAUUUUCUUGAGUUUUGGACAAGUGUUGUCUGUGCAUACAGUUCUGAACCUGACUUCCGGCCCCUGGUUUAUCCCUUUGCUCAAUCACAUUGUUGCUCCUUUCGGUACUUUGAUUCCUGGAUUUUUACUGACGAUGAACAACCAUCUAGAUCAAAGCGUACUAUGGAUUCCGGUGAUGAUGUCCACGCGGUUUUUGGAAUUGAUGCGCAGUUUCUCAUUAAGAAAUGCACACACUAUGAAAUUUGAAUAACACAUUAGUAGUUUGUUCUUUUCCCUGUUUUCUGAGGUAGUUCAAUUAGUUAGGACAGCCAAUAUGUUAGAAUUCCAUGUUUCUUAAUGCUUGCACUGUGCAGUGGAACUAUCAUUCAUCUAUUGCAGUCCAAUUAUUCUGCCAGUUCUACAAUGUUAUGCAUUGUUUCCCUAUUUAAUAGGUUCUACA